rnacentral:rRNA from 1 species
UGGGGAAUAUUGGACAAUGGGGGAACCCUGAUCCAGCCAUGCCGCGUGUGUGAAGAAGGCCUUUUGGUUGUAAAGCACUUUAAGUGGGGAGGAGGCUCUCUUGGUUAAUACCUAAGAAGAGUGGACGUUACCCACAGAAUAAGCACCGGCUAACUCUGUGCCAGCAGCCGCGGUAAUACAGAGGGUGCGAGCGUUAAUCGGAUUUACUGGGCGUAAAGCGCGCGUAGGUGGUUAAUUAAGUCAAAUGUGAAAUCCCCGAGCUUAACUUGGGAAUUGCAUUCGAUACUGGUUAGCUAGAGUAUGGGAGAGGAUGGUAGAAUUCCAGGUGUAGCGGUGAAAUGCGUAGAGAUCUGGAGGAAUACCGAUGGCGAAGGCAGCCAUCUGGCCUAAUACUGACACUGAGGUGCGAAAGCAUGGGGAGCAAACAGGAUUAGAUACCCUGGUAGUCCAUGCCGUAAACGAUGUCUACUAGCCGUUGGGGGAUUUGAUCCUUUAGUGGCGCAGCUAAACGCGAUAAGUAGACCGCCUGGGGAGUACGGUCGCAAGACUAAAAACUCAAAGGAAUUUGACGGGGGUCAUAGCUGUUUCCUG